GAGAAAGAGAGGACGUCCACAUGAACUUGGCGAUCGACUUCACAGCGGCAAUUCUCGGUGGCGAAGUGUCGGUACCAACACUAUCCGGGAAUGUUAACACAAAGAUUCAACCUGGAACACAGUAUGGCGAAGUCCUCGUUUUGA